GAGAGAUGGUCGAGUGGUUUAAGGCAGCGGUCUUGAAAAUCGCCGUGGCGCAAGUCACCGAGGGUUCGAAUCCCUCUCUCUCC
rnacentral:tRNA from 1 species